AGUUGUUUGGAUGAUCUGGCUGGAGAGGUGGGUUUUCCCUUCCUCCCCAACCUCUCCAUGCGCAUCCCUUCUAAAGAUGUACACGUUUUGGAAGAGGAUGACCUUUACCGAUAGAGGAAGACCUUUCUUAGGUUGCGGGUAUGAGUAGCUGUACAACCCUGAGAGAAUCUCUAAACAAGCUCUCAAAGCACAUGUGUAGCUUUCUUUGGGGUGUAGUAUAAGGUUAAUUUUGUAUUCAGCUUUUGCU
ensembl:misc_RNA 7SK 7SK RNA